rnacentral:lncRNA from 1 species
AACAAAACUUCCUCAGUUGUGGAUCUCUGAGGGAGCAAGGGGACAGCCAGCACUCAGGAGGAGACUGAGCUUCUUGCUAAGCCAGCCCUGAAAAGACGGAAAGGAUGGGAACAGCAGAAUCAGAUUUGAAAAGGUUUCAGCCUGUGCUCUGGAACAGGAAAUCCUUUUACAGACAGUGACCCUUCAGACACUGGAUGAAGAAUCUUCAUACGCAUGGGUUCAGCCCCCAGGGGUCCAGUUCAAGAGCAAAGGACCUGAGCCCCAACCAUCAGAGGAAGGAGAGGCCAGUUUGCCCUGGAGGGUUUUUUGUGGCACCUGCAUUUUCUACUGGAUGAUUGUCAAGCUUCUUUCCAGGCUCAGGGCUCACACACCACUCACCUCGCAGACACUGAAAUUCUUCUAG